AUGUCCUUGUCCUCGGUGUACACAACCUGGAAUCAGGAAGAAAGAAUGAAUGAAAACAGUGCAAGUGUGAAGGGAAGGGGAAAGUUUCUUCUACUCCGUGGGCUCUGAGGAUCAGGCAGGUCAGUGACUUAGCGACAAGUGCCUGUACCCAGUAGGCCU
rnacentral:lncRNA from 1 species